rnacentral:lncRNA from 10 species
UUUGCUGGCCUGGCAGGGGGAUCUCCCAGCUGGAUGAGGUCAUGCAGACAAAGCUUACAGAAAGUGCUAAAGUGGGCUCCGGCAGAAGAAGGUGCUUUCUGGAUGAAAGAGGAGAAGCUGGAAGAUGCCCGGCAAGAGGCCUCGGUCCUUCCUGGAAGACCAUGAAGUCCAGUGCAGCUAUCGGUACUCAACACCAGAAGCCCAGAGAGGAAAGAAACACCAAUGCCACACAGUAACUAACUGGAAAGCUUACUAGACUUGUGGGUAGACACAAAUGCAUAUGAGACAUUCUGGGGGGUUCUCAGAUGGAUUGGUGUAGAGGUAUUCUAAAAGGAGUUGGAGGAGAGAAAAGAAAUAGAUGAAAGGAAACAGUAAAAUCUGGGUUAUUAGUUGAAGCCCCAGACCCUUAUGUGAGGACUGAUGCUACUCUAAAUGCAUACAGUAUGUAGAUAGCUUUCUGUCUUCUUUAUGUUUACUAAAUUUUUGAAAAGUAAUUGUUUUUUAAUCAUUUCUCUAUCUUUAUAUAAACUUUUUCAAAUUGUCAUGUAUUUUCUUAUUGUAUUAUUUUAUUUACAAAUAAAAUUAUACAAUACAAAGA